rnacentral:hammerhead_ribozyme from 1 species
AUCCGGAUGAUGAGUCCCAAAUAGGACGAAAUACACAUUCUGGAU